UACGUAGGGUGCAAGCGUUGUCCGGAAUUAUUGGGCGUAAAGAGCUCGUAGGCGGUUUGUCGCGUCGAAUGUGAAAACCCGGGGCUCAACCCCGGGCCUGCAUUCGAUACGGGCAGACUAGAGUUCGGUAGGGGAGUCUGGAAUUCCUGGUAUAGGUCGGUGAAAUGCGUAGAUAUUCGGAGGAACACCAGUGGCGAAGGCGGUUCUCUGGGCCUGUUCUGACGCUGAGGAGCGAAAGCGUGGGGAGCAAACAG
rnacentral:rRNA from 1 species